rnacentral:misc_RNA from 1 species
CACGUUUAGAACGAGAUGGCGGGACGCGUGGGUCUUGAUGCGCAUGCGCGGUCCAACAUGGCGACGUGAAGGGCGGACCCACCAAGCCUCGCUCCCAAAAAGCUGAUUUAUCCUCCUAUCGUCGAGCGAGAUGGAGGACGGACUUCUUUCCUUGAAGUGGAACAACCACAGAUCCACUUUUUUCCACAUUCUUAGUGAAGUGCGGGGUAAACAGACGUACACGGAUGCGACGCUGGCGUGCGAGGGGAAGUUCUUCCCCGUGCAUAAGCUGGUCAUGUCGACGUGCAGUGACUACUUUGCGGAGAUCUUUGAAAAGACGCCGUGUAAGAACCCUGUGGUAGUGCUCAAGGACAUCAAGAAGUCAGACUUAGAGGCCUUGUUAGACUAUAUGUACAUAGGCGAGGUGGACGUGCGGCAGAGCGAGCUGGCCGGCCUCAUCAAGGCGGCGGAGUGCCUGCGCAUCAAGGGUCUGGCCGUGCCGGACGAGGACCCCACCAAGGCCCACAAGAAGGCCCCCACCACUGUACCUGAGCGGCGGGAGGACAGCCCUCCGGCGAAGAGAAAAAGACGGGACUCGGGGGGCGACCGCGGGAGGGUCCCUUCGCCGCCCCUGCCCCGGGGAUCCUCCCAGUCUUCCUCCCACACUUCCACAACACCAGUGCCUAGUCAAGCACCCCCCCCCUCCUCCAGUGUACCUGAGUCACAUGUGCCAUCCCAGCCCAUGCCCCCGCCGCCCUCCCUGGGCCAGGAGGCGGGCCGGCCGCGCUCCGACGCCCCGCCCUCCUCUCACCUCCACCACCCGCCGCUGUCCUCGGUCCGGGGCGCCGCGGAGAGCCUGCGUUCUCCCCCCGGGGGGCCCGCGGACAGCCAUGGGGCGGGCACGUCGCCCCGCACUGUGGACCCGUCCAUCCUGCCGGUGCAGAUGAUCAAGGUGGAGGUGGACGAGGCGGGGGAGUCUGGCGGGGCGGGGAAGGAGGGGCACGACGGGGGGAGGGAGGAGGGGAGCGAGCUGGACGACAACGAGGAGGAGGGCAGCAAUGACUUCUCCGAGUACCAGGGACACCCGGGGGAGAUAGAGAAGGAGGAGCACGACCAGGUGGAGUCCUACACCACUGACCAGCUGCCGGGACCCUCAGGGCUGCAGGGGGCCCCCCCGGUGCUGUCGUGGGGUGAGGAGGGGGAGGGAGGCUUCCCCCACAACCUCUUCGGCAGCGAUGACGCGGCGGCAGCGCAACAAGCGCUGGGGGCGUUGGUUAGCGGCGUGGGCGGGGCGUAUAGCAGGCGUGGUCGCGGCGCCAAAGUUUGUGGGUACUGCGGGAAGGCGUUCGUUCGUUCAGACGUCCUCGUUCAACAUGUACGUACCCACACUGGCGAGAAGCCGUACCCGUGUCCCCACUGCCCCUACCGCGCCUCCCAGCGAACCCACCUACGACUACACCUCCGGAGACACGACCACUCGGGUACUACCACCACCACCACCACCACCACACAAGAAUCCUCACGCCAGGCCCUUCACCUCCUGCACCAUUCUGACCUAGCGAGCCGUGACGCGUUACUACAGCAGCACCAGCAGCAGCAGCACCAGCAGCGCCGCCAGGAGGGGACCAGUGCGGGGGGUGUGGAGCAGGUGGCCGGGGUGGUGCCAAUAACGUCUCAGAGUUUACAAGACACGAUACACCAUUAUGAUUUCAAGUGAGGUGUGUGUUGGGCUCAUUCUGUAACACUUCCGCGCCUCACACCACCUUCACUGUCUUCAAAGGCCUCCAGUUGAAGUGACACGGGUUUUCAAGGGUGUUUCUGUAAUUCUAGUGACACGUUAACAAGUUGUCUGCAUUACCAGCUGGAAAAAUACUCUACAAAUGGGGCUAAUCGUCUCUGUGGGCUUUGAAAAUGGACGUGGUUAGAGAGAGAAGCGUUUCUGAAUGUGGUGCUUGGUGUGGUGUGGUGUGGUGGUGUGGAUGAAGUGACGGUGAUAUCUGACGUGAGGACAGGUGUGUGGGGCGAGGACAGGUGUGGUUAAUGGAAGCGUUUGAAAAGGACAGGUGUGGAAAAUAUGGUUUAAUUGAUGAAUGGAAGACGUUGUGUGUGUGUGUGUGUGUGUGUGUGUGUGUGUGUGUGUGUGUGUGUGUGUGUGUGUGUGUGUGUGU